rnacentral:rRNA from 1 species
GACGAACGCUGGCGGCGUGCCUAAUACAUGCAAGUCGAGCGGAUGACAGAGGAGCUCGCUCCUCCUGAUUCAGCGGCGGACGGGUGAGUAACACGUGGGCAACCUGCCCUGUAGAUUGGGAUAACUCCGGGAAACCGGGGCUAAUACCGAAUAAUCCUUCGGACCUCAUGGUCCGAUGUUGAAAGACGGUUUCGGCUGUCACUACAGGAUGGGCCCGCGGCGCAUUAGCUAGUUGGUGAGGUAACGGCUCACCAAGGCCACGAUGCGUAGCCGACCUGAGAGGGUGAUCGGCCACACUGGGACUGAGACACGGCCCAGACUCCUACGGGAGGCAGCAGUAGGGAAUCUUCCACAAUGGACGAAAGUCUGAUGGAGCAACGCCGCGUGAGUGAAGAAGGUUCUCGGAUCGUAAAACUCUGUUGUGAGGGAAGAACAAGUACCGGAGUAACUGCCGGUGCCUUGACGGUACCUCAUUAGAAAGCCACGGCUAACUACGUGCCAGCCGCCGCCGUAA